rnacentral:lncRNA from 1 species
CUGCUGGCAGACAGCUAAGGCCAACAUGGAGUCUGUUACUGAGUUUCUUGCUGCUUUUAACAAAAAAUGGAAGAAAGUUCUAUAACCUGGGAAAUAGCAGCAAAGGAACAACGUUGGGAACAAUUUCUGGGCAUAAAAUCGCACAGUGUACUGUGGAAUUAGCUACCAUCUCAUUCCUUUUUCUCAGAGGUUUAUAAACUUGGCUGAAUUAUAGUAGAAAAAGCACUGCAAUGAGAAAUAAGGAGGGCUUUUUCCUAAUCUCUUUUCUUACUCUCUUUGAUCACUAAAUAGGUAGGUAACCUUGGACAGUCUACCAAACGUUUCUAGGCUUUUUUUAAAAGAGAGAUCUCGCUCUGUUGCCUUUGUUGGAUCAUAGCUCACUGCAGCCCUGGACUCCUGGGCUCAAAGUGAUCCUAC